CCUACGGGAGGCAGCAGUAAGGAAUAUUGGACAAUGCUCGCAAGAGUGAUCCAGCCAUGCCGCGUGCAGGAAGAAUGCCCUAUGGGUAGUAAACUGCUUUUGAACUAGAGAAAACCCCAGUACGUGUACUGGGCUGAUAGUAUAGUUAGAAUAAGCAUCGGCUAACUUCGUGCCAGCAGCCGCGGUAAGACGAAGGAUGCAAGCGUUAUCCGGAUUCAUUGGGUUUAAAGGGAGCGUAGGUGGACUGAUAAGUCAGUGGUGAAAUCUCCGAGCUUAACUCGGAAAUUGCCAUUGAUACUGUUGGUCUUGAGUACAGUUGCUGUGGGCGGAAUAUGACAUGUAGUGGUGAAAUACAUAGAGAUGUCAUAGAACACCGAUUGCGAAGGCAGCUCACAAAGCUGUAACUGACACUGAGGCUCGAAAGUGCGGGGAUCAAACAGGAUUAGAUACCCUGGUAGUCCGCACCGUAAACGAUGAUUACUCGCUGCUAGGGGGCAACCUUUAGUGGCUUAGCGAAAGCGAAUAAGUAAUUCCACCUGGGGAGUUACGCCGGCAACGGUUGAAACUUCAAAGGAUUGACGGCGNGAGAGNGCGACGGACGACGACGAGGAGGAGG
rnacentral:rRNA from 1 species